rnacentral:rRNA from 1 species
AACGAACGCUGGCGGCAGGCUUAACACAUGCAAGUCGAACGCCCCGCAAGGGGAGUGGCAGACGGGUGAGUAACGCGUGGGAAUCUACCCAACUCUACGGAAUAACCCAGGGAAACUUGUUCUAAUACCGUAUACGCCCUUCGGGGGAAAGAUUUAUCGGAGUUGGAUGAGCCCGCGUUGGAUUAGCUAGUUGGUGGGGUAAAGGCCUACCAAGGCGACGAUCCAUAGCUGGUCUGAGAGGAUGAUCAGCCACAUUGGGACUGAGACACGGCCCAAACUCCUACGGGAGGCAGCAGUGGGGAAUAUUGGACAAUGGGCGCAAGCCUGAUCCAGCCAUGCCGCGUGAGUGAUGAAGGCCCUAGGGUUGUAAAGCUCUUUCACCGGUGAAGAUAAUGACGGUAACCGGAGAAGAAGCCUCGGCUAACUUCGUGCCAGCCGCCGCAGUAA